CCCAGCAAUCGAACCCUCGACCCCCUGGCGUACGGGACGACGCUCCAACCAACUGAGCCACCCGGCCAGGGCUGCACUUACUAUAAUUUAAGCUCCGUGAGAACCAGGGCCGUAUUCUGUUCACUUCCGAAAAGUGCUCUAAUACUUAGGACAGUUCCAGCAAAUGGAAGGAACUCGGUUUAGAAAAUCCUCAAAGGACACAGAAUGACAUUUGUUCUCUGAAACUCAGUCCUGGAUUUAGGGUGACCGGCUCCUCUUGGUCUGCAGGAGACUUUCCCACUUUUAGCGCUGAAGUCCCAAGUCCCAGGAACACCCCCUUCAGUCCUGGGCAAAGCAAGAUGAUUGUUUCCCUGAUUAAAUCCACAAGGUGCUCAAACAAGGCAUUUGGAA